rnacentral:rRNA from 1 species
UACGGAGGUAGAGCACUGAAUGUCCUAGGGGGUAUUGCACCUACCGAAGACUAUCAAACUCCGAAUGCCGUCAUCUUAUACUUGGGAGUCAGACUGUGGGUGAUAAGAUUCAUAGUCGAAAGGGCAAUAGCCCAGAUCGUCAGCUAAGGUCCCUAAAUGUAAGUUAAGUGGGAAAGGAUGUGGGAUUGCACAGACAACCAGGAUGUUGGCUUAGAAGCAGCCACUCAUUCAAAGAGUGCGUAAUAGCUCACUGGUCGAGUGAUCCUGCGCCGAAGAUUUCCGGGGCUAAAACUUACUACCGAAGCUACGGCAUCAUUAUGAUGGGUAGGGGAGCUUCCCAU